AGAGGGAGGGACUUGUCUUGAUUCAGUACAAUGACGUGCGGUGUGGUGCAAUUUUCACAUGACUCAAGCACUUGUGGGAUACUUUGGUAAGGUGUGGAGCUGAAUACCCAGUAGAAAUGCACACUUUGGAGUGGAUUACAACACAAGGUUUUAAAGAAAAGAAAUAUGCGUAGAAGAAUGCUGUAGGACUGCUGCAGAUACCUAAAGAAGAAUGUUGGCUCUUGGAUGGUCCUUCUGGUGUAUUUUACUGAGUCUACACAUGCCACUUCAUGGCUUGGAGAUUUUUGAACAUGACAGCCACAAAGUCAUUUGCUCACAGGGUCUCUCUAAAUGCAAGAUGAAAGAUGAGAUGCCUGUUAAUCCCAGCAAAAACACUGUGGAUGUUCAGACACUAAAACCAGAUUUUAAGCUCUGCUGUACGAACAAGACAGCAUGUGCAUUAUGUUUGGUGAUAGACAUAGAGUUUAACAUCGAUCCAGAUGAAGACACGGAGGAUCAAGGCUCCUCUGGCUCAGAAAUGGAAGAAUACAGAGAAGACAAGAUCACUUCACAAGGGUCAUUGACAGUAUGUUAUUGCACAGAAGCGUCCAUGCCAAAGUGCAAGAAGGUGGUGUUUACAGUGAAUAAUGAAGCUCUUACUCAACAAAACCAGCUAAAGAUCUCAGUGGUGCUUACUCAGUCAGAUGGCUUUCCCUUUGAAAUCUCCCUGAUUGUCCGUAGCUCAAGUAUAACUGAAAGGGUUGCUGCUCCUUCUUUUAAUGAAGUGUGCUCCCAGGAACUGCAGAAAACUUUACCAGAGUGUCAAGUGCCCAAAUUCACAUUUGCAGUAAACUCAAAGAUGAAUCAAGUGGAGCUGCAGCUUGAAGACGGGAAUAAGAUCCCCCCCUCGAUGUGCAUCCAGUACGAGCAGAAAGGAAGGUGUCAGAGUUGGAACAGGAUGACCAUACCACUGUACUCCGUAACCCGCUGCAUGUGUCUCCAGCUGUGGUACGAGGAUGGACAAAGGUCUACACGGUCACUACAAUGCCCCUUCAAUAAAUCUGAUUCUCUAAAUGAAUCACAAAAGAACAUAUGGGAAAAUAUCACCGUGUCAAAGCCCCAUGUACAAAUGACCAGCUUUGGAGAAAUGUUAUCCUGGAACGUGUCUGCACCUUGCAGGCUGGAUGGUAAAGUGUGGCUGCUUAAGAAACACAGUCGAAGCAGGAGUGCCUUCAGCCAACAGCUGGAAAAUGGCACUGCAUGGAAACAAAACAUCAAGGGACUCUGGGUGAACACAUUUGUGUUUGAAAAUGUACCCCUCCGGCCCUUGCCGUGUUUGAUGAUGAGAGUAAAGGGAAUGGAACAUGACCUAGGUCCAUUUUGUUUUGAUGACAAUGUUGCAGCUGGCAGGUGGCGCUGGAGUCUCCUAGCCACUGCUGUUAUGCUGCUGGCUUUCAUUACUGUGCUGUUGUUAUGGUCCUUUCAUAAAUCUAUCAAGGGAUGGGUGUGGAGCUGGCAACACGGUGGGAUAGUAAAAAUUUGUAAGAUGCGUCAUGUUGUCCUGCUGAGCCCCCCAGACGUGGAUGAUGCCACUUCUAAGUUGGUGUGUCAGAUCGGGUCCAACCUCAGCGACAAGGGCUUCAGUGUGUCUGUCGACCAGUGGAGCAGGAGGGAGCAGUGUAAUUGGGGGCCUCUGCCAUGGCUGCAUUCACAGCUGCUGGAGCUUAACAGCCUGGGUGGCCGAGUUCUGCUGGUUCUGACACGUAGAGCCUUGGAGAGAACCGAAGAAUGGAUGCACUGGAACAAAGAUAUUAUCAACGAAAGCAUGGGGAACAAAGAAAAUGAUCUACCAAAGCUGUGGUCACCGUAUUCUGAUUUGUUCACAGCCUCCCUGUCCCUAAUUCAAGCUGACAAGCUCCUUGAUAGAGCUGGUAAACGUUUCGUUCUGGUGAAAUUUGAUUCCCACCCAAGAGAGACUCACACCAGAGACAGGUGUUUACCAGAGCUUCUACAGGGGCUGCCACUGUUUAGUCUUCCCUCUCAGAAUCAGUCUCUCCUAGCUGAGCUAACUGUGACAAAGACAGAGAGAGGAUCAUAUGGAGGAAGGUGAGGUACUCCAAUGGCUAAAAAGGGACCAAGACCAGCAAGAGGGCAUCAUCGUGUAAAUCUUUUAAAUCACCCAAAUGUACUUUAAUAAGCUGUAUUGCUUUUUUGUGUACAUGAAGAAUAUGUUCAUCAGAGUUGGCUGCCAUGAAGAUGAUAUGCUAAUGAAGAAUAAGACUCCCGACUCAGUGAUAAGUGAUACAAAUACAGUCAACAAAUUCCAUACAGAGACCAUAACCAAUAAUCUGUUGUUCUAAAUCUCCACAUACCUUCAAGCCUUAUUUUAUUUUAUUUUUUAAAUCUGCUUAAGCAGAAGCAGCUGCUGUACCAGGACAGUGUAUACAAACUGACAGUAUAAACUAAGUCCUGACAUGUCUUGAGAUGAUCAUCUCUGUACACAAAGACAACGGCAAAAAAAUCUGGAUGAUCUAUUCAUUUUGGUCUUUUAGGGGAUUUUUUGAAAGCAAGAACGAUUAUAGUCUUAUUGUCAAAGCUGCAAAACUGUAACUCCUACAGACUAAAAAUAACCGUGCACGGAAGCCUGUCCACACCUGUCUAUAACUAUAUUUGCCUCUGUUUUUGUUUUUUUGUUUGGUUUAAAAGCUAAAACACAUCGAGUUAUGAUUGGUCUUUGGAAGGACAGCGGCUCUUAUUGGGCCAGUGUAAGGACUUACUGAAGUACUUGUUAUAAGUAUUACCACAUUCCGUAAGAGCGGUGUCUUGGGACGGAUAUGUGCUCCGCCCGCGCGGGAGGUGUGAGUUAUCUCUGCAACCGAACACAAUGUAGCCAACAGCCGGUCAUGUGUCAAGCGGGUCUGUCUUGGAUUCACUUCUUUUAAAGUUUUCUGCCCGUUUCACCCUAUAGCAGCGCGAAGGUAACGAAUACUCUUCAUUUCAGAGUCAGUUUGUUGCUGGUCGUGUUGCUUGUUUUAGUGUCAGAUUUUCUGUCGGCUGAUAUGUUUGUUUGUUUUUCAACGUGAAACAUGAAGAACCAGAGACUGGCAUCAAGGCUACUUUAUAUUUAGAAGCACGGUAACCGAAUGGGCAUGAAGAGUCUCCACAGAAACCUGCUUCAGGGUGUUUGUCUAUGGAGUCUGCUGGCUGUUCAGGUGAGCAGUUGUCCAGAUAGCUGCAGUUUGUGUUCAGGGCCAGAAAAUGACCAGUGUGAGGAAUGCAGAGAUGGAUGGACACUCCAUAAUAAGAUCUGUGUAGACAUCGAUGAGUGUGGCACACAGCUGGGUAACUGUCCUCCAAACAGUUACUGCUUUAAUACAGAAGGAUCCUUUGAGUGCAGAGGCUGCGACGUGGCCUGUGUGGGCUGCUUGGGUAGCGGACCAGCACGCUGCAGGAAAUGUGCUUCUGGGUACAGACUGACAGGAUCCAAGUGUUUGGAUAUAGAUGAAUGCAGUGACCGUGUGCUUGCCUGCCAUGGUCUCGAUGAGAUUUGUACCAACACAGAAGGAUCUUUCCGUUGUGACUGCGCUGAAGGAUUCAUCCGCAUGGACAGUGUUUGCGUGAAAAAGCAGUUGCCUCAUUUUGAGGAGAAAGGUCUAUUUGAGGAUAUCCAGGAUGAUGAGGUGGAGAUACUGAAGCAGAUGUUUUUUGGGGUGGUCCUUUGUGCUCUGGCAACACUUGCAGCAAAGGGAGAUUUGGUCUACACAUCUGUGUUUAUGGGAGCAUUGGCAGCCAUGGCGGGUUACUGGCUUUCUGAUCGAGGCGACCGAUUGUUAAACAGCUUUGUAAAGGGACAUUAGAGUUGCAGACUUUUGCAAAGAGAACUUUACAGGAAAUGGACAAACCAAUGCGCUGCUGCUUAGAGUGGCCAUGGAGUUUUGCAUUAUUUUGUAUUGUGUGGAAUAUAAUAUGUGCUUUUAAAAAUGUCUUGUUUGUUAAAGUGUAUAAACUAUUACUUUAAGUUUAUGCUGCUUAUAAAAUUUUUUGAUUCAGGAGGGUGACAUUUAGUGUGCCUUAUCUUCUGCAAGUCUGCAGAUUUUUCUCAGACUCAUGGAUUUAAAUUGUUUUUCCAUAAGUCAGUGUGUGAUAUCAUGGUCCUUAUGGAGUACGGAAAAGAAAAUAUAUUUGUGCAGUGAGAUUACAAAAGGUUGAUUCAGUUAAGCAGCUAAAGAGUUGAAGUGCAUUUGGUGGUAUCUAACAUCGUCUUAUUUCGUAGAAUAAAAUUACAGAUGUCUUGAAUUCUAUGUGCACAUUGCAGUUUUAGUGAGUUUGAUUACAGAGAUUCAAGUAAAACCUGUUAAAUCUUUAAAAGUAUUGGCACAUGCACCCAGGAAAAACUGACUUUCAGGGUCUCAAGUAUCUUUCUCACAAGGACAUUAAUGAAGCUGCAGACAUCUAAAUACCACGGUGAAUGUUGUCUCACUUUACACAAGUAAGAGCCAAAGAAUCCAAACUAAAGAUCUAAACAAAGGGGGGAGAAGGUAUCUUAGCAGAAGGCUUAGGAAGAAAGUCAUGUGUUUAGAUUAUUAUAUAUAUCAAACAAACACAUUAAUGUUGUGCUCCUGCAGCAGUCCAAGGUAAUGACCAUGGCCAGUUUUCCAUAUAAAAUGCUGCUGUUAUUUGUAUGUACUGCAUUAGAAAUGACCAACGAUUGGGGUUUUUUUUCUCUGUAUUUGGAGCAGCCAAAAUACAAUGAGAGGAUUCUUUCACCACCCUUUUUUUUUUUUUUUUUUUUUUUUUUUUUUUUUUUUUAGGUACACCUGUUCAGCUGCCGUUUAUGCAAAUAUAUAGUUGGCUAAUGAUUUAAGUGACUUUGACUAUGUCAAGGUUGUUGUUGCCAGACAGCCUGGUCUCAGUAUUUCACAAACUGGUGAUCUAUUUAAAAUUUCCCAACAUAACCAUCUUUAUAGUUUACAGAUGAUGGUCCAAGGCAUGUGGACCCCAGCUCAGCAGCCAGACCCUGAACUUUAACAUGUAGCAAAAGCAGCGAUGAGCAGUUAGGCUGCUGCCUCCAUUUCUACCUGUUCAUGUUUCUGAAGUCAAAGUCUCUCUGUGCUGGUUUUCAUCUUUGCUUUUUGCUGUCAGCACAAACUAAAGGAAAGAUUAUGUGUCCUCAUUAGGAUCCUGAUUUGUGUUGGUGUAUGGAAAUUUGUAGUAAAGCUGUUAUGUUCAAUGCUUUCCAUGUGCACAUUUUUCAAGGUAUAAAUGCUCAAAUAAAUACUUUACAUACAGUUA